AUCACAGUGAUUUUUCAUCACACUUCCUGAGCUUACCAUAGCAACUUUGUUUUUGUUUGUUUUGAAUUUCCAAUUACGACAGAUUUUGUAAAAGAGAGCUUGUUUAUUUCAGUGAAAGAACUAGUGGAAUCUACUACAAAUGUGAUGAAAUCAGCGUGAUUAGAACCGCUGUCUGAGUUCUUGAAAGAUCCCGUCGUAAAUUUUAGUGGUUUUGACCAGUGACCAGUGCCCUUCAAUGGCACAUGUCCAGGGAACUUCUUGACGACCUCCUGUCCUGUAAGAUCCUCCAGUUUUAUUACGGUUAUGUGAAGCAGAACCAUUCCUUUCGGAUAAGAUGAAAUCCCAAAUACAAGAUACUAGAUGGUUCGAAGAAGACGAUUACGACUGCUUAGUCCGGCUGGGGAAUUUUGGUCCAAUAAUGUCAAUAUACAGACUUCUUUCGUCCAAAA